GGUAAUUCGGCUUGGAAAUCUGGUCCAAUGGGAACCGAUUUCCGAGGAGGAUUGUUGAAAAGAGGGGAAUAGACCUCCAUUGGAUGAAUAACAACUCGGAAUGGAGGAUCACUACUGUAAUAUUUAGAAGCCGUCAAUACAUGAAAAGGCACCUCGGACCUAAUGUCUUCUUCGCUGGUGCUACUAGAGGUCCAAGAAGAGUUUGAAGCAGAGCCAUGGAUGCUCGUCUCAAUUGCUUUCUCUGAAGAAACAGGGACAGCAGUCACAUCGCAACUAUCAGGUCUUUUCUCACUAAAAGCUCUGACUUCUGAAAAUUUCUCCUCAUCGCCACCUGAAGUGUAAGAGUUGGGAGCCACUGAUUCACACGGAAACUGCAAAAAGGAAACUAGCUGAGUACUCGGUUCUACAUGUCUCGGCUGCUUAGAUGAAACCUCAUACAACUUUUCUUCACUGUAUGGUCUUUUUUGCACCAUAUUUAACUCGGAAUUCGAUUUCCAGACGGAUAGAUCCAAAAGAGGUACCAAUCGAUAGAGAAUGAAACGAAUUAGAAGUAUCGGAGGUUGAUUUGAUCUUCAAGAAGAAAAAUCAAGGUCGAUUAAAGGGGUAGAAGAUGAGAAAUUGAUUUUGGGGAAAAAAUUGUUGACGAAAAAAUAGAGGGUAAAGGUGGGUCAAAGGGGAUUCG
rnacentral:misc_RNA from 1 species